GACGAACGCUGGCGGCGUGCCUAAUACAUGCAAGUCGAGCGAAUUUUUGGGAGCUUGCUCCCAAAAGUUAGCGGCGGACGGGUGAGUAACACGUGGGCAACCUGCCUAUAAGACUGGGAUAACUUCGGGAAACCGGAGCUAAUACCGGAUAAUUCAUAUCUACUCAUGUAGAUAUGCUGAAAGACGGUUUACGCUGUCACUUAUAGAUGGGCCCGCGGCGCAUUAGCUAGUUGGUGAGGUAACGGCUCACCAAGGCAACGAUGCGUAGCCGACCUGAGAGGGUGAUCGGCCACACUGGGACUGAGACACGGCCCAGACUCCUACGGGAGGCAGCAGUAGGGAAUCUUCCGCAAUGGACGAAAGUCUGACGGAGCAACGCCGCGUGAGUGAUGAAGGUUUUCGGAUCGUAAAACUCUGUUGUUAGGGAAGAACAAGUACGAGAGUAACUGCUCGUACCUUGACGGUACCUAACCAGAAAGCCACGGCUAACUACGUGCCAGCAGCCGCGGUAAUACGUAGGUGGCAAGCGUUGUCCGGAAUUAUUGGGCGUAAAGCGCGCGCAGGCGGUCCUUUAAGUCUGAUGUGAAAGCCCACGGCUCAACCGUGGAGGGUCAUUGGAAACUGGGGGACUUGAGUACAGAAG
rnacentral:rRNA from 2 species